rnacentral:rRNA from 1 species
UUGACCUCAAAUCAGGUAGGACUACCCGCUGAACUUAAGCAUAUG